AUGCCGCCCUUGGCUGCUGAGGUGCUGCCCGAUGUCAGCCACAACACUACAGAGGCGCAGUCCUUGGCUGCCGAGGUGCUGCCUGAAGUCAGCCACAACGCUCCCGAGGCGCCGCCCUUGGCUGCCGAGAUGCUGCCCGAGGUCAGCCACAACGCUCCCGAGGCGCCGCCCUUGGCUGCCGAGAUGCUGCCCGAGGUCAGCCACAACGCUCCCGAGGCGCCGCCCUUGGCUGCCGAGAUGCUGCCGGUGGCCAACCAAGAUGCUGCCGCCGAGGCGUCACCCAAGGCCAGCCACUCUGACGACAUCGUCAUGGUGGACGCCGAGGCGCAGCUCAAUGCUCAAGGCGACGCAGACCUCAUGGGCCCCUGCGCAUUCCCGGCGCCCAUGGAGAAGAAGAAGAAGGAAGAGGAGGGGGAUGGGUCCAAUGCUGCCGUCCCCCCUCAGCACCAAAUGGAUGCGCAUCCUGCUCCUGUAACAGAGGCUGAAUCUGCCGGCGAGGCGGCAACACAGGACACGGGAGUCGAGCCCAGCACUGCUGCUGCACAUGCAAUGCCAGACGCUGAAGAGGGUGCUAGCAUGGAAUUGGACGCACCUUUGGCUUUGCUUGAGUUCACUGCUGGAUCAAGUGGACACAGUGUACUGGACAGUGUGUUGGCUGAUACUCCUAUGGCCGCCGAGGAUGCCACCAUGCCUGCUUCCAUUGCCAUGGAUGCUGAGGAUGCCGCCACACCAGUUUCCACUGCCAAGACCGUCAAGCCUAAAAGACGCUUCACACGGUCGCUGCUUGGACUGGACAGAGAGACCGCAGCCAGUGAAAUUAUAGGAGAUGUCUCGCUUGAUUUGUCUGCAACACCAGGGAGGAGGUUCACAAGGUCACUGCUCAAGCCAAAGGUGGAGGUGCCUCCUGCCAGCAGCCCGGUUGUGCCUGAAGAGCCCGUUGAAAGCACACCAGAGACCCCUCCAUCGGUGACCAAGAUGGAGAUGAAGAUGUCCAAGAAAGUUGCCUGCCUCUCAAAGCACCCAGGCAACACCAGAGAUUUGCUCAGCACAGGACUGCUCGAGGGAAUGCCGGUUAUGUACAUCAUCCCUAAUAGCAAGUUGCAGAAGCCUGUGCUUAAAGGUGUGAUUGCAGGUUGCAAUAUAUGUUGCUUUUGUGUUAAGUGUGAUGGCUCCAAGGCUAUUACUACAUAUUUCUUUGAACUACAUGCUGGAAGCAGCAAAAAACACCCUGCAGAGUACAUCUACUUAGCAAAUGGUAAUAGUUUGCGGGAUGUGCUGCGUGCCUGUGAAAGUUCUCCUUUGGAUUCUCUAGAUAAAACAAUCCAGUCCUGCAUUGAUCCCAUGCUUACAAGGACCCGCACGAAUUGUCUGAACUGCAACUGUGAGCUACCUUCACAAACGGAAGAACAGUUUCUGUGCCAUCAGUGUUGCCCAGAGUCGAACCAACCUCAAGAUCCUACUUCUCCGUUGGCAUACAGCAAGAGCAGUUCCAGUCUGACUCCAAGUUCCAAGGAAUCUUUGUUGAAGAGGAUGUCGGCAAGCAAAGGCGCAAGUACCGGAAAAGUAACAACAAAGGAUACGGGGCUACACAAACUGGUAUUCAAGGUUUUGCUUGACGGUACUGAAGUAACCUACUAUGUUGAUGGGCAGAAAAUAAUCGAUGGAUACAUCAAGGAUCAAAGAAUCUACUGUAACCAUUGCAACAAAGUGGUCAGCCCCUCAGCGUUCGAAGCUCAUGCGGGUGAGGGAUCAAGACGCAAACCGUAUGACAACAUCUAUACGUCAAAUGGGGUAUCCCUGCAUGAGCUGUCGAUGAGAAUAUCAAAAGACAUGCAAUUGUCGGAACGUGAAACUGAUGAUCUGUGCAGAGAAUGUGGUCUAGGAGGGGAUAUUUUCCCUUGCAAAAUGUGUCCAAGGUCAUUUCACCCAGCUUGCGUUGGGCUGCCUGGAGUUCCCUUGGAGGAGUGGUUUUGUGAUAACUGCACCAUCCUCGUUCAGAAAGAAAAGGCUUUAGCAGCAAAUAAGAAUGCCAAGGCUGCUGGGAGGCAGGCCGGAGUCGAUUCCAUUGAGCAGAUUUUGAAGAGGGCUAUUAGAAUCGUCCCAAUCUGUGAUGACCUUGGAGGAUGCGCCUUAUGCAAGAAAAAGGAUUUUAACAAUUCAGUAUUUGAUGAGCGCACUGUGAUACUCUGUGAUCAAUGCGAGAAAGAGUACCAUGUAGGAUGUUUGAGGAGCGAAUGGCAGGUCGACCUGAAGGAAUUACCAGAAGGGGAGUGGUUCUGUUGUGAUAGUUGCUCUGAGAUACGCUCCUCUUUGGACAAGAUGAUUUCUGAAGGAGCUCAGCCUUUGUCGGAGUCAGACCUUGAUAUCAUAAGGAAGAAGCACGAGUCAAAAGGUUUGAUCAUGGACACCAAUACAGAGAUCAGAUGGCAAUUGGUUGCUGGUAGAAGUGCCACUGAAGAUGGCAACUCAUUGCUUUCUUCUGCUGUCCCAGUUAUUCAUCAAUCUUUUGAUCCAAUCAUCGAAGCCCAUACUGGUAGGGAUCUAAUUCCUGAGAUGGUCCACGGGAGGAGACCUAAAGAAGGAAUGCCAGGCCAAGAUUACAGUGGAAUGUACUGUGCGGUCUUAACUGUAGGUUCUACUGUCGUGUCGGCAGCACUUUUGCGUGUCAUGGGAGGUGACGUGGCCGAACUGCCACUGGUUGCUACAAGUAUGGAUCUUCAAGGACUGGGCUACUUCCAAGUGUUGUUCUCAUGCAUCGAAAGGCUGCUAGUUUCGCUGAAGGUGAAGCACUUCAUGCUUCCGGCCGCCCAUGAAGCUGAAGCCAUCUGGAUGAAGAAGUUUGGCUUCUCUAAAAUCCCUCAGGAUGAGAUGGAAGCUUAUCUUAACGGGGGACACCUCACCGUAUUCCAUGGAACCUUGAACCUGUACAAGGCCGUUCCAUUGCCUGAAUCUUAG
rnacentral:rRNA from 1 species